GCAAGUCAUGCCAAACAGUGAUUUUCAUUUGCUUUCAUUACAAGAGUCAUCAUAUUUAUCUUUUAGUAUAGUGUAUAAUAGUUUGUAUGUCUGGUAGUUUAACAAAAGCUCACAGCAAUCUCUUUGCUAGUCAUGGCUUGUUCUUUCUUUCCUGCUGUCUCUUAAUGAUGUGUUGCUGCUGCUGCAAAAGAUUUUUUUUGGACAUCCCAUAGAGAAUCAUUGUCGUCGCAUGGGACGCGAGCGCCCCCAACCACAAAUGUUGCUGGCACCUACACACAGAUACACACACGCACGCACACACACGCACAUAGACAAACACACAAGUCAUUAAGUGUUAAUUUAAUGGCCAAGAGAUCUUUGUCACAGAUAACAAAUGCAUGCAUUUUUAUACGCACACAGAAGAGAUAGAGAGAGAGAGAGAAGAACGUGAAGAGAGAGGCAACGAUGAGGAGUUCUUUUGGGCUUCUAUCUGAGCCCUGGCAUCUCUUACAAGUUUGUGGAAAACAUUUUGUGCGCAGCAGGUGAUAUAUGUGUUGUCUGCUUAUGGAAACAACCAGCAACCAACAACCAGCAAACAACAACUAACGCCUCCUCCUUUGGCUUUGGUCAUAUGAUAUUUGUGUGUUGUCGGGUUGCUCGGUUUGUUAACGCUGACAGACAAUUAAGUGUUUGCUUUAUGUUUAUUGGAAUGGAUUUGCCGCAGCAACGCACGUUGUGCGUUCAGCGUUCAGUGUUGUGCGUUGCGCGUUCUUCUCUCUUAACAAAUUGAUUGAUGACAGACACCCUGAAUCUAUAAAGAGAGAGAGAGAGAUGGAGAGCGACAAGUUUCUUUCGUUGGAGAAUAAAGUCUUGAAUUACCAGCUCAACUGGUAGCCCACCAACACCUGGCCAUCAACAUUUUCGAGGGCUACUUUAAGUAAUAAAAGUGCCAAGUAACAAAGUAGUCAUAGUCCAUAUAGUAGUAGGAGGCGUAGGCUCAGCCAACAGAAAAAAAAACAAGGCGUGUGUAUAGCCUAGAAAAUGAUGACGAUGUAACGGAAACUUUUUAAUUAAAAUUCGAAAAAUUAAUUAAAUAUUUUUGUGACGCCCGAGUCAGAGUCAGAGCGAAAGCGAGAGCCCAAGCGCUGACGAUGACGACUUUGAGAUUAAAUUUCCAACCUACCUACGAAAUGCAAACCCACUGCGAAAGACAGUGAGACUGACUGUCGAAAAGUUUGCUUGGCAAAAUACGAACACAAAAAAAGAAGGAAAACAGCAACAAGUACAAUAGCAACAACAACAAGUUGAUGAAACAACACUAACAACAAGUUUUUGGUAAGGCAGUUGGAGAAGGCAACAAUAUCAAGUGCAAAAUGAGAAAAUUCACUUGCUCUAGUCAAACAACAACAAAAACUGUGCGAAAACGCCGUUGCUGGAAGGUCGUUAGAUGGGGGAAAAGGUGGAAGGUUGUAAGCUUUUUGAGGGUAGAAUGAAGAAGAACUCGACUCGACUCGACUUCACUCGUCUCGCUUUGCAGAUAGAAAAACAAAAGAAAGUUUGCCAGCAGAAAAGACAAAAAAAGUGAAUGUAGUACAAAUGCCAAAAUGAGAAAGGAGCCAACAAGCGAAAGAUGAGCAAGAGAAGAAGCUACGAAUAACACAACAAAAAAAACAGUUAAUGAUGCACAACUGAUAAGCCAAAAAGAUGACACACAGCCGCAACUACAAGUGCAACUGCAACUGCAGAAUGAAAAAAGAAGAAGCCACUUCAACUUCCCCCAGCUCAAUUGCCAACUAACGACUGUGAAAACCAGUUGCAAGUAGGCUGAAUCUGUGUUAUCAGAUGGCGGAUGAUGCAGAACGCUGCAAUGAGAAUGCCAGAGAUAAUGGCAACUAUCGUAAAUGUGAAAGAUGAAGAAAACAUUCCGAGUGCAAACCACUUGAAAGCCAAAAGAAAAAUCUGUGAAAGUUGCAGAGGAAAAACAAUUGAGAAGUACGCAAUUUGCAUGUGAAAAACAUAAUUAUGGUCAAGUACAUAUUAGCAAACAUAAGCAUUAACCGAUAAUCACAUAUUAAUUAUGUAGUGCGAGCUGAUGUUAAACCCCUUCGCAUUGAACCCGUUCAAACAUCAUCAACAACAAGUAGCAAAAGAGAAAAAGGGUGAAAUUAAAGCCAUGACCCAAAGAUCUAUCCGACUUAAUGUUGCCAAUCAAUCAUUCGCUCACUUGAUGGGCUACAAAUUACUACAAAAAAAGGGAAAAUGGGGAAAAAUGAGAACAACUGCAAAUGGCAAAAGUUACGAGACAAGGGCAAAAAACUUAGUCGCAUAUGUGAUGCUUCCUUUACUUCCGAUAAUGAAUUAUAUGGCUGUGCGAAACGCAAGAAAAAAGGAAAAUAAAUACGAACAAGUAAGAAGGCAAAUGUUGAGUGUGCUUUGCUGUGCGAUACCCGCUACCCAUUGUGAAUAGAAGCAAAACUGAGCGGUAUUAAUUUUAAAAUAUUCCAAAUUAGUA